CCCGCCUGGAACCCUGCCUGGAGCCCUGCCUGGAGCCCUUCUCUGCUCUGGCUGCGCCCUGCAUGCAUCCUGCCCCGCUGCUGCUGCCCGGUACCACCCAUUGGGAAUUAUCUCUUCAGCCUGCAUUUAGCACCAGACACCUGGUAUGAUAAGGUGAAGUGCUCAGCAUUCCACAGUUUCCUGGAGGAACAGACCACGAUCCAGGUGUCAGCCCAGCGCUGGCAGCUCCAGUCCAUCCCUACACCUUUCCUGACAAGCCGUGCUGGUGGUGCAAAAACGCCAAAGACUUCAGGGCUCCUUCAUGGAUGGUGAAGCCAUAACACUGGUGAAGUAAUAAGGUUAAUAAUUUUAAGGUCUUAAAACUAAAGAGAUGGCAGAGGGGAGGCUCUUAUCCAGCCUGGUAGUGUUAGAUCAGAUUCCCAGGGAUUUGGGGAAGAUUGGAGGGUACUUGGCCCCUUGCAGGAUUAGGCCAUCAGUGAGCAGCCUCCCCGAAAAUUACAAAGCCUUCUUGUGAGACUCUUCAGGCUGUAAUUAGUUUAAAUUAUUUUACGAAAGAGCAGGGAAACAACAUGCAGCAUUAGUGUUAGUAACCUCCCCAAUAUGAUGCCUCUUCACAGGGAUGUCCCAAGUAGAACAAAAUAUAUUCCUCUUGAAAUGACAUUGCCUUUGACAACAGAUCACAGUAUUUGCCACCUUAACCAUUCUACCCAGUUUUAUGAUUAGAAAAAUUGCCCAAAUUAUAGAAAUUAUUUUUUUUUAAUUAAAAAAGAUGGAGAGGGAUAGUCAGUGUGAGUAUAUCACCAAAGUUGUACUGACUUCACUGGAGCUUUACUGGCGGCAUUUAACACAGGUCUGCCAGUCCUAUUCUUCUCUAGUUUUGUUCAGCAUCGAUGAAACAAAAUCAUUCUUGAGUCCUAUCUCAAUUUUCAUUUUAAGAACCUAAUUUGGAAUUCAGCUUAACUAGACCUCCCUUUUCCCCCUCCUCUUCAAUCAGCAAGACAUUUAAUAAUAUACAAAUACCUCGCUGUGGCUUCAAGCUAAAUUCAUUUAUGACCAAGUGACAUAAAUGACACCUGCAAGAAAUUGAUAUACCUGCUGCUUAUAUACAGUGCCUUUGGACAAAAAGGCAGAUUAACCUUUUUUUUUUUUUUUAAGUUUUCUCUGUUAACUAUUAUACUUAAUGCAUAUAAAUCCCUCAUAUCUGAGUAGCAAAAACUUACACUUGCCAAUAAAUUUAUAAUGCAUUGGUAACAAUGCUGUAAUUGCAUCUAAUAAAUACUCUCUCUGCCCUCACUGAGCUUUUGUGAAGCUGAAUAGCAUUGAACCACUUUGCAGUCCUCAUCUGAAAGGUCUCCUAUAGACAGAAUAAUAUUACUAUUUUAAAUAGCAGAACUGUUAUUGAGACACCUCUGUGUUAAAGCUGUUCUUGACAGUAACCACAGGCUACUCACUGCAGCCUCGAAAUCUGAAACUGCUAAGCUCAUAGUUAGCUUAGCUAUUCUCACUCAGCAAACACCUUGUUCCCUAUGAUUUAUUUAUCCCUUUAUUCUGCAGUCUAUCCAGGAAUGAGAUUGGAGGUUUUUUUACACAUUAAUUAUUAAUAAUGAUUCAAGGAGUUUGUUUAUGCAAACGUAUUUCAGGCCACAGUCUCUCUGUGAACUCUUUGCGUUCCUAAUUGAGUUAUUUGCUGUUCAUCAUGUGCUGUCUGCAGACCUCAUGGAUCACUGCAAACCAUAUGAUGUGGCAUUGCUUUUGUUCUCUGAUGAGUCUCAAACCCAGGAAAGGUGUUUCUGGAAGGCACAGGAGGGCUUCUGACAUGAACAUUAGGGCAUCUUGCUGUUUCCAGGUCUCUGCAGCUCUCAUCCGACUGUUUCUGAAAUCACAAAUUCACUCUCACAUAUUUUUGGGGACUGGGCUGACCAGCUGGCAUUGCUCUCAACUUUUUACUUCAGUUGCUACUAGCAGUUGUACUACAGUGGAGGUCUGUGGUUGAGAGUGAGAUAGGAGAAUGACUGAAUCUGGCACAUGGUAACACAGGUGCUCUCCUACAGACCUAAACCAGGCUAGUUAGGUCAAAGUUAGGAGGGGAAUCAAUGGGACAGGCAGGGUAAAUGACUUUCCCAGUGGCACCCAGAGGGACUGUUGCAAGGUUGGACUGCAGCUCACACCUUCAGCAUCUCCAUCGGUGUUCAGUCUGUGGGAUUACUGCCUACUGAUUCCACCGAACUUGUCUUUCUCUUUAUACCCAUUUCCUGCUCUUAUUACUCUUGGCACCAGUUACCGCACCAUGAAAAGACAUUCUUGUGGGAGUAGGACUGAGGGGGUAGGGCUCUUGUUACUUUCUCAGUGAAAUCCUCAGUGAUAAUCCUGACAUGCACAUGCUGUAAGAUCUCUGGGGAAUGGUGACUGCUCUUACACAAGCAUCACAAGCAGGAGUUACAUGCAAGACCUAAAAUAAUCCCUCCAUUCUAUUGAAAAUAGAGUAGCAAAUCAAUGCCUGGCAUUAGUCUGCUGGCAAUGCCUGUGUCCAGAUUUGGGUGCCAACUUUUAGAACUAUGUGAGCCUAGUGGCAUGAUCCCAAAAGCAAGCAGUGAGAACAACCAGAGGCCUUGACACUGUAGCUGGAGUGGAAAAACUGAAAGAACUGGGUUUGUUUACUCCGGAGACAUCACUAAGGGGACACAAUGACAGUGUAAAAUGUUCCUGCAAAGAAGAGAGGAAUAAACUGUUCUCUACUGGAUACAGGACAAGAAGGAAUGGGCAUACAUUGCAGCAAGAGACAUUUAAGCUGCAGUGGGGACAGCUGGACUCCAGUCUGGGUUGCCUGGGAAGGGAGUAACUUUGUGCAAUUAAGUGAGGUCUCCAGGUGAGGAGCAUCACUGAACUUCAGAGUUGAGACUUCUUCUAUAUGUAGUAAAGUGAGAUAGUAAUUCUGGCUGUGCUUCAACUCUCUUUGAAGCAGCUUUUAACUCUACAUUGAUUAGUCAGAGAGCCCAGUUUCCUACGUUAGCCAAUUCAUUUAAGUGCCUAAAGUUAAAUGGGAUGGAUCUGGACCUCAGUGACUUACUUGCCUUUACCCUAUGACUCAUCAUCAAACCCUGUGGGUCCUAUGUCAUGGUCUCUAGUUUCUGCUUUCAUCAUUGCUUUUCAGUUUCCUUGCUGCGUUCAGCAGCAAGUCUUUGCUUUACAGAAGUUUGAACAACCUUAGCAUAAUAUAUAUUUCCUGUUCUUCAGGAAGGUUAAAGAUUUGCUUAUUACACCGAAGUGUUUAAUGAAUUGUGCUUUGAAUAUAUAAACAUGAUUCUGAAGGCUCUAUCAGCUAAACCAUUUCUCUUCUAAAGUAAUUGGUAAUGAAUAACAUUUUACCUAGUGGGUCAUAUUCCAAUGUAAGUGCUAAAAAGCCAGAUAAAUGGAAAAUAGAUGUUAGUUUCAGUUUUCAAAGAUUCUUCAUAAAUAUGAGCAAUUAGGGUAAAAAAUAAAAAGAUACAACGUCCUAAUAAUCUGUCCUAUCAGGUCAGAAGAUGCAGCAUUAAAAAAAAACUAUCUAUAACCCCAUUACUGUGGACAAAGGCAGUACUGGGGAAUUGUCUAAGGUUAAUUAAUAGCAAACACUGUUUUGUAGCAGAGCAAAGAUCCCCUCCCCAUAAGAAUCAUACUGGCCUAAAACUCUUGAGGUUGUACAUUUAGAAAAACUGAGGUCUGUCUUAAAUACUCUCUGUUUCUUUGUUGUUUGGGUUUUUUUUUCCCGAGACUUUGGGGUGUGCUUGCUUUGUUUUUGUAUUUAGGCAUUGUAUAGGCAUCAUGUGCCUAUAAGGAAGUAAAAGAUGAGGAUUUCCAAUGAACUCUCUGGAGCUGAAACUGGGAAAAGCAUGGGCCUGAGAUUUAAACCUGGAAUCAAAACACACUGGAAAAGCUGCUGCAGGUUCUGUCUGAAUGGUGGGACUUUGCAGCAGCACGACAGGAGGUCUGUAACAUGGCAUAUGCUAUCCCCAUGCUUCCACGCUCCCCGUUAGCAGCAGGGAGGAAUGCUGAUGGGCUGACUGCAAAGCACAAUGAUGGUUCUAGCCUGUCUUCUCAAGGAAACAAGACAUAAACUCAGACUCUUGGUGAUGUGCAAACAAACGGGUCUUUCCGCCUGGUGACUAAUUUCAACCAAGGUUGACAGAGGACAAAAGAUCUCCAAUAAAAUAAGCUCCUAGAAAUGUUAAUGGCAAUAGGAGGUGGGUGAAGAGAAACUGCUAGUGCCUCACUUAGGGAAAGGCAGCCGCAGAGCUCCUUUCACAGCAGAUAUUGAAGAAUCCACACAGCAGAGACAUAUUUGAAAUGAAGCUUCCCACAGUUUUAAUUUUCACAAGAGUAAUUGUUUAAAAUAGAUGUGGUUGGAGUCAUGGCACGUAGAGGCUCUGCUGCCUCCUACUCCUAGUCUCCCCAGCCCCGAGUACUGUGAACCCCUUUGCUUCCUAUCGACAAAUUAAAAAAAAAGACAAGUUAAAACAUCUCCUUGGAAUUACAUUUCUCUGUCCUGUAUUUGUUCCCUUCAUCUAAUCUUUAUUUCGUACUCACUGUGGUUAUUGUUACAAAUUAGAAUUUUUUUUUUUUUUGAUUGCCAGCUCAACCAGGUCUACUUGAUACCUUAUAAUCAAGCUGCAUUUUUCUUCCAGCUCUAUAAACAGCGAAGCUCCUGGACUCGGCUAGACCAUAGCCACUGCUCUUACACUGCUGUAAAGGCAUGAACUGUAUCAGAGCACAGCUUGCUCCUGCAGCUGCUUUGGCUCCAGAGGGGUGUUUGUGUCAGUAAACUAAUCACACAUGACUUGGACAAGAGGCAGGCAGGAGCAGAUAAGGGGCUGUUUUUGCAGAGUCCGUUCUUUGUCUGUGACCAUGUUUUGGUGAAUGAAAUCAUCGCAGUGCAGGCAGCAGUGUGACUGAACAGGAAAGGAGCUUGGUUGCCCCUUAGUUACAAUCCCCACUUGGUUAUGUGCUCCAGCCUUGGACAAGUCAUUUAACCCUUGUGCGACUUCUCUGAGCAGUAAAAUUUUGUGCAAGAACAGUGGCCUGUUGUCUGGAGGUGGUGAGCUUUAAUACCUUUAAAAGUAACAUAUAUACUAAACAGCCAAGCCAAUGGGAAACAUGCUUUAGUUUCCACUUAGAAAAGAAAAAACCUUCCCAGUGAUUUCCUUAUAUGUGUGACAGAAUAGGAAGAAAUAGCAUUUUUUUGUAGUCCCAAGAUUUGUCCCUCCAGUAUGAGUGGUAAGCUAAUACCUGGGACGUUGUUAGUCCGAGUGCCAUGAGCUACUGACGGCACAGUGUAGUUCUAUUACAAAAAAUAUAUCCCGUGUCUCUUUCAUUAGUCAUUUUGGUGAGUGAAAUGGAGACAGUCUGUCUGCGGGUGCUGCUCACAACAUAUCAGCCUGGCUUUCUCCCUCCAGCCCUUGCUUCCCAGACCCUGCUUUGAAACGAAGCAGUCCCUGGUUGUUUCCCUGGGUAAACACAGUGACCAUUGGUAGCUUGAUGUCCCAGGUAAGUAACAAUCAUUUAUUCUUGCUGGUUUUAUGGAGUGCUCACAGUGGCCACCUGUCUGACCUAUGACUGAUUUUGAACCAUGGUGAGAAGGAAGGUGGGCAGGGAGGAAAAAUCUUCCAGCCACGUUGGACCUUGAAGUCCUUCACAUCCUGCACAGUUGGCAAAACAUCACAUUUCUUAAUGGAAACUGGGAGAAAAAAGGGAACUUCAAAGAAAGGACUCAAAAUACAUGGAGGGCUUUUGUGGCCAAAUUUAGAGGGAAGACCCCAAUGUUUACUUGCGUUGUCCAAGGAGAAGUAAGACACAUUCUCAGUAUGGAACUUCUGGUUUCACCAGAGAUGAAAGCUUACCUCCAAUUGAGAUCAGAAGAGCUGGCACUCUGUCUCUGGUGACUGGAUGACCAGCAGGAGCCAUUCUCUCAACAGCCGCAGUAGGAAGAUGAUUGCAGAAAGAAAUGGGGCUCAGAUGACGUCCUGAAGAAUGGCUUUGAGCAAGACACUUGAACAUAUCUAGGCCAGCUGAAGAAGAAGGAGGAAUAUCAAGCAAAACUUCCUCCUGGUGUGAUCUAGUAGGCUAUGGAGUAGUAGAGAAGCAGCAGAGAUCCCCAACAUUAGAAAGUAGGACACAAAUGUGUUCAGUCAUGCUCAGGCAGAAAGGUAUGGACUAUUCCUGCUUUUGGAAUUCAACGUUGCAAGAACUGUCUGCUUUGAGAGAGAGAAAGACAACGCCAAGACUAGAGGACACUAGCUAGAGAUUUAUUUUUGUAAAACCAGAAGGCCCAUGAACAGGCUGAUCCACACAGUUUAUUAAACAUGGCAGGCUGACCUCCAUUGUUCCUUAUUGUUUGAUAUGUCUUCCCUGCAAAGCUCAAAAAUAUGAAUCUUUAUCAAUUAAACAAUGCUAGAUAUAGUUUUAAAACCUUGCUCAAGAGCCACGUCCAGAAACUCAAGACAGCUGGCUGGAUCUGAGCCAGUGGGUUUUGACUUAAAAACAAAGAAAACCCCCUUGUGAACUGAGAGGUCCAUUACUAUCAGUUUGUCUUUGUUGGAAAAGAACAGUUAUCUGCUUCCUUAGGAUCAAAGGUAAAUAGUUCAUGACCACAAGAGAAAAGGAAAAAGGAAUCCUCUAGCCAGAGAACUUAACAUUUUGAGGCAGCCUAUUGUCAGGUCAUGGCAUGGUGUUCCCAUUGUCACUGGUCUGAUUAAACAGGGAAAUAGGUUUAAAAAAAAAAAAAAAAAGAAUAAGCUCAGAAUUUUUCAUAGGCACUGGCUUCUUGCAGUGAUCAGCAUCCAGGGUCUUCAGGUUGUGACUGUUGGACUUGUACACUGUCCCUUCAAUUUUAACUCACCCAGUCUGAAUGGGUGAAGAGUACUGUGCCAUGACUCACGCUUAGCGUGUGUGUUUAUUAGCACUUUUAUUGAGUUCUCUUCUACUUCUCUCCAUCGCUCACCUCUUUUACAAUCUCAAGGCAUUAGACUGUACUAUAUGUUUGAUCCAGAGGUUCUUAGUGCACGUUUCCUGGUUGGAUGGGUUGAACGCGGCAUUGCAACCAUGCAGAAAAGUCAGUUUGCAGGUGUUAGGUCUGGCUGAAAUAGCUUCCUCUGUACAAGGUGGAUGCAUCAAGAGAGGGGGCAAGAUGUGUCUGUAGGUCCUUGGCUUCCGUGCCUGCCCUUCCUAAUUCACCUCUGUUUACCCAUAGCCUGCUGAGGUAGGGCAGGGAGUUGGGAUUUUGACCAGGUAGGCAUUGCUGACUCACUGCAUGGCUGACCAUCCCUUGUGCUGAUCAGUGCAGGUUCUGGAGAGUGUUGUGUGUCAGGGAGUCUGUUAUCACUGGGAGGACAUGUAACUGCUUGAUAUUGAAUAAAGUGCCUCUGACUGAAAGUGCUGCAGGGGCAUGAGGGAAGUAUUACGGAGUACUCUGUAGCUGAUGGUGUUGCAGAAACUGGCUACUACCUGUAAGCAGGCAGAAGAGUAAACAGAAAGUCCAACUGCUGUCACUAUCACAAUUCCCCUCUUAAGCCCAUUUGCAACCAGUCAGCCUGAGGUUUGCCACAUGAUACUUCCCCCCGCAAGUAGUCAUUUGCAUCAAGGAACCUGUCCUGAUGCUGCUUUCCUACAAGCGCAAUAAUCCAGUCCAUGUUCUGAGUGGAGAUCUGCAUGGUGACACUGUAACCCUCAUAUUUCAUUCUACAGACUGGCAUUUAAUGUGUAGAUUAGAUUUUGAUUUUCUGGAGAGGCUCUUGCUAAUUUAGGAGGACUUUGGAUUAGUCCAUGAGACCUAUGCCGGACCAUGGAAACAGCCUACGCAGACCCUUUUCUGUGCCUCAUGGCUUCUGUAGUGUCCAUGUGCCUCAUGGAGCAGUAGUGUCCAUCAAUACAGAUAGGAAAGUUUGGAUCAUUUCAUCAACAGCAGAUAAUUUGUCUCUACUGUAAUUACGUUUCAGACUCUGUGCUGCUUUGCUCCUCAAUGCAGUGAAAUCUAUCAAGUGUUUAUUGCUGUCCUGGUUACCUUUCAACACAUUAACCAUGCAAAGAAUCCCCCAUUUUUUAUCACACUCAUUGUCAUGACAACACCUUUGUGCUCUGCUGCUUGUCAUUUUAUAUCCUCUAAAGCUGAGGAAAAAAUACUGCUGUACUUGAGCUCUAUGAGCCACAGGACUUUACACUCCCAUUCUGCCCUGAGCCCUUUCCUGAGCUAAUGUCGACUUCUGUUUACUUCCCCUUCUUUGGGGAAAACAGGAGGAAGGGGCCAAGCAAUUUAAGUACAGGGUGUUGUCAGGACGGGCCAAAGGCGGAAUGAAGGGAAAACAAGAAGUGGCAUCAAAGUGAUUGAGGCAAACCUCCACUGUCAUAGCAGUGAUAUAUGGGAUAAACUCAUCCAUCCUCUUCUCACUUUGGAUGCAUAAACAUGACAACAUAUUUAGGUAAUCCAUUGUCUGUCAGCCUUCCCUUUGCUACAAGGUGUUACAGCUUGAUGGAAGAAGGGAAUCCUACUUUCUGAGCAACUUUUGUCUGUCUUACCCUCAGUUUCCCCAUCUGUAACUGAGGAAGCAAUUUUAGCCUACUUUAAUAUGCUACAUAAGCCAGGGAUUAUGUUUCCAUGGACAGGGGGGUGUCUUUAGGUAAUGGGAUCGUGGCUAAUGCUGUAUUCUGGCUGCUAUUCUUCUAAGCGCUAAAGACCCCAUCUAAAUUAUAGAAAAAUGCCAGUGAUUAUGUUAAUAAAUAUGACAGUCCCAACGGGUUUUAAAUAGCACUUCACAGCUUUGACAAGCUUACCUCAAAAUUUCCUUGCAAAUGAGAAAGUUAACACCUGGCUGGGAAGUUUAUUAAAAUUGCAAAUGUUAAUUUGCUUCUAGCCAGACUUGGGUCACUCUGCAAGAAAAUUGCACAGAGAGGUUUGACCCAAAACACUGAAUUAUUUGAAGAAUACUUCAUUUUCAAGAAUAUCUGAAUUGGUGAAAAUUUUAAUGGAAAUAAUUUUUAGAAUUAGAAUACACCGAUCAGAGCCUACCUUGAUGCUACAGUUUUCCAAAGUGGCCUGGUGGAUGCCACUUUGGGGAUUUUACUUAUGAUCACUGCAUGGAAAGUUCCUGUUACACACUUUAUUUAUUAUUUUUCCCUAAGAGAACUAGUACCUCUCCUCGCACUUGCAGUGCCAUAGCAAAAAGCACUUGAGAGCACCACCUGUGAUGAAGUUAUGUUCGACACAUAAUGAUAUGUAAUUGGAAGUGCAGUUGUCUCUGGGAAAAGAAUCUGCAGCCUUAAACUUCCUCCCAAACCGCUUAUGACAUAGGACUGUUUUCUGCGUUACUAACACAUAACACAAAGAUUUGUGUUGCCAUUUGUGUUGCUAUGACAGUGGAGGUUUGCCUCAAUCACUUUGAUGUCACUUCUUGCUUUCUCUUCAUUCCCCCUUUCAGCCCUUUGCAAGUGAAUGGUGCCACAUAGUAAGAUCUGGAUAUUAAGUGGAUGGAGUGUCCUUCCUUUGGCCUGAUCCAGUGAAGAUAUAAAUCAGUCACAUUUCCGAGUUUCUUAACCUAAUUCGGUACCUCAAGCUGUGGCUGCUGGGUUCGGGGAGGAUCCUGGAGUAUCAUAUCUGCAGCUGCCCUCACUUCAACUCUCAUAACUCCAAGUCGCUGUGGCUCAUCAGGGUGACAGACCGGAGUAAGACAGGUGGACCGCAUCUCCUGGUGAGGUUCUUGCCAUCCCUUUUUUCUGUCAUUCUGUAUGACAACAGAGUUUGGCCCAGUACAACUAUCUGUGUUGAAUUUCCCCAGCACACAGCAAGUUCUGCCCUUCCUGGUACACGACAUAACUUGUUCCCGUACCCCAGGGACACAGAUAUCAUCCCAGCGGAUCUGUCCGGAUCUCUCUGGCUCUGUCCGUCCACAGGGUGAGGUCAUUUGGGUGCCAAGACUUGCAGAUCCUCCCUCUCAGCAGCUGAUGUUACUUUGGCAUGAAGAGAAAACAAAGUAGGUUAAGCUUGAUUUUAAUUAAAUAUUUCCUGCUUUCACAAUGAAAGUGGAAAACACAUGUGGGUGUCUCCUCACUAAGUAUGAAGGACAAAACAAUGCUUUAUAGGAAUGGAGCAGAUGUUAAACCCUUUGGCACAUCUUGUCCAGCUCACUUUCCUUUGAAGUCAGGCUGGAGUGAUUUACUUAAAAUGCUUCCCUCCUGUGCGUGUCAUAGUCAAGUCAGCUUGUCCCCUUUUCUGCAGUUAAGUUUGAUUAUUUCUGCCCUGCUCUAGUCCUUAUAGAAUUAUCUUUUUUUUUUUCCCUAUUUGCCAAGAUAUUUUGGUAUAUUAACUGUGAUUGAUUUGCAGCCCCUCUCAGUUUUAGUGGCCUCUGCAAAUUCAGCAGGUAUAGUCAUGAGAUUUGAAAUCCUCUAUAUAGCGAAGCUUUGAAACUGGAAGUGAACUUGACAUCCAAAUUGUCCAGCUCUCCCAGAACCCAAGGGGCAUUGGCUGAACUUUUUCUUUUAAUAGCGUGCAUUAGCAUCAAGGAAUACAAUUGUGGCCUGACGCAAAGCUAUUGUUAGAGAUGUUUGCACUUUCCUAAUAGAAUAUAAAUGCCCUCAGAAAACAAAGCUUCAGUGAAGCUUUUUUAGAGGAGGCUAGUGAAGCUCCGGGGAUGGAAAGGCUAGCUAAAGGCUUUCAGGUAUGUGCCCUUUUUCUUGUCUGUUUGUAGUUUUAUUCCAGUGUUCAUGUUAUGAAUUUGGCACAGAUAAAAACCCCAUUUGUGUGUGAUCAGGAAGCAAUACUACCUCAUUUUUGGACACUGCUGCAGGGGACAAAAGCGUAUUUCUUUCUUAUGCACACAGACAGAUGUUUCUGGAUAAGGUAGAUUAUAUCCAAAUAUUAAGGAAAUAACUUCCAAGAAGAAUUUCUGUCCUUCCUGGUACUAAUCUUGAUUUUACUCUUUUUUUAAUUCAAAAACGCUAUUUGCUAUUGCUUCGACAAGGUUUUGUGAGCUGUGCAGCCCUGCGCUAUCAGGCAUGAAGAGUUAUUGUGACAGCACAAACCAUAACGCUAUCCAUCUAGCCCAUCAAUCACAUUUCCCAAAACAUCCAAUGAAUGAAAGCGGUAUUCUAUCCGCUUCCUGGCUGUUUUUACUCAAAAUAAGCAGAAACUAGAUGGGAAUUUCUUGAGGUUGUGCAAACUGAGUCAAUGCAAUCCUGACUCCAAACUCAUUGCUGUUAAGAUAGAUAUAUUGCAAUUGCAGAUGAUGAUGCCAUUAUGAUGGCAUUCAUUUCUGUUAAACAAGGGGCUGCCCUUUUGCUCUCGUUCCCUGGACUCUACUUUCCCUCUUAGUGAGGCGGGGCAGGGACAAAGACCUGAAUUCUCCUAUCAGGUUACCCUAAUGCCCUGUGGGUCUCCUUGCCAAGUGGCAGAAGAACCUGACUUGGAAUAAAAAUUGCCAGAAGUCUGUUGAUUUCUGUAGAGUCACAAUAAUUUUUGCCAGCAGAAGUUUUCUCAGGACUCUUAAGAGGAAAGAAACUAGAGGAUUACAGGGAAAACUGUACUGGUAUUCAUGGAAAAGGCUAAUCUUGUGCGUGAAUAUGGUCAUGCUCUGGCUAAAGUAAUUGCUGGCACUAGAGAGUAGCAGAAGUUAGAGUCUGUCAUUGAGAACAAUCUGUCCUGGCUCAUCUUGCGCUGGUUAUCAUGAGAGUUGGGGAUGUGGGCAGAUUAUGCUGACCCAGUCCCAUCUGGCAGGGCUGGCUUGUCCGUGAUUGCGGUGCUCUGGGGACGGCACAGGAGGGAUCAGUGCAAGAAGCGCCUUUGCCCUUUUAGAGCAACUUACCUGCGCUGUCUCACGCAGUCUUCUGCAGAAGGCAGCAGCAAGAAUAACAAGGGGGAAGGCAGAAGAUACAUGGUGUCUGAAGGCAGACAGGCUCUUAUCCAUGGUUUGCCAAUGGGUUUAGUGAGGCCAAGCAGCUGAGACUGUUAGGAGGUCUUGGGAGGACAAAAUGGGAGAAGGGGAACUGUUGGAGUGUUCAUUAGAGUAGAGCCCAUCCGAGGGCAGAAACCCACCGGUGUGGUACAAACAGGGAGAGGGAUAGCUAUAGCUCAAAUUAAGCUGGAAAAACAAAGGGUUAGUAAAUGGCCUGAGAUACCCCAGAUCCCAUCAGAAGUCAGAGGCAGAGCCAGGAAGAGAGCUUUUCCAAUGAUUGAUGGUUUUGUUUAUUUUUAAAAAUUAUUAAAAUCCCUCCAACUCCCCACCCCACGAGUUUCUGGAAUUUGAUGUAAAGAAAACAUUGCAUUUCAGAUUCAAGCAUUGUAGGAUGUUCUAACAUCUAUUUUCUUGAAUAAUGGGGAAUGAAAUUUCUAAAUUAAGAGCCAUUUCCAACUGGAAACCAAAUGUUCUGGCUGGAGUUGCCAACAUGAAAAAUUUCAGCUUUCAGCAUUUAUUGUGGUUUGUUAUUCAUGGACAUUUGAGCACAACUGAGACAAAUUCACAGAACGUUUACGUUGCUGGCAGGUCUCCUGAUGCUCUGCUGAGUCCCAUCAUGAGGAGCUCCUCCCACAUAUGGCCUGCCAGGACAAUUUGCUUAACCUACCAUUUACCAGUUGGUACCUACCUUACCAAUAUUAUUACCUGUGGGCUAUAUCACUUGAUGUAGUAGCAGCAGAAGACAGGAGCCCCGGUAUAGCACCUUUCUAGACCUGAGGGCUCUAAAAACCCGGAGGGUUGUCUGUGCAUAUUCAGUAGGUAUGGUCACAGUGUGAGCUUGGGCUGCAGUGUAUAUGCAAAUGCUGGGUGCUACAGCAUAAAAAUGUGCACUGCUAGAGCGUCUCAGUCAGAGGUUGCUGUUGUAGGUGAAGCUGAUUUGUGGCCAGCUGGAACGUGCAACUCAAGAAAGACCCAGUUUGCUUGACUGAAUCAUUCCAGGGGUGCCUGCAAGUUGGACUCCCCACAGGCUGGUUUAGCUAUGCCAAUAAUUAUUCAGUAGCCAGUGAAUCUCUCCUAGGCAUUCAAGAAGCCUUCAGCUUCCCUAUCCCGGGGAAGGGGAGAUUAAACUCUCAGUAACCCAUAUCUUUAUUAGCAAGUUCAUGCUCACCUGAUUUUUAAAACCAUUUUCAUAGAUUCAUUAGUUUAAGAGAACCUGACUCUUUUUGUCAUAGAAAUAUCACCAUAGUGCUAACAGAAGCUUAUUAAACUGGAUAUUUGAGUGGAAAAAAUGUUUAGCAGCUGUUUGCAGAUGCAUGUGGCUUGACAGAUAUUAAAAUGACAUAAAACUGUCUCCUCCUUCAGACAAAUCUUAAAGCUAUUUAUAACUAUUAGCUAUUUAUCUAUUAUGUGUUAGCUCUUCGUAGCUGUUUUCAGCAUCCUGUAGUGCACCACAGGGACAGAGGACUUCAGCACCACUGGGAGUUACCAUGGUGUUUGCAGGGAACAGAACACGAGGACCCGAAUUUUGGUACUGUUUUCAUUUUGCAACACACACACACGCACACACGUACACACACACACACGCCAGUUACUUGCUUGUACAAAAGAAUGAGGCUCCCUGGUGUGCCUAGAACAGCACCCAUUUAUAUUAGCAGGGAAUUUGGCCUGUGUGUUUUAUGUUGCGCUGCCACAGGCAAGUACUAGUAAGAUAUCUGCUGAAGAUGGGAACAAAAAAAUUUACGUGACUCGCAGCAGCUGCAAGAAGAUAUAACUAGAGCGCACUAAAGUGUGUAUGACUGUUUGAACAGCUUUGCUGUUGAAUGGUGGUCUGUACAUGCUCCUGGGAUUUGUGUCACAAAGAACAUCAGAAAAUGAUGAAACAGAAACCUCCAUCUCUGCAUAGAGACCACAAAAUCUUGAAAAGGGUGAAAGACCUCAAAACAGAGAGAUUUAACCUGCAAUGGUGUCCACUGUUGUUUUCCAUCUCGGACCAUUUUGGGUAAUGACACAGAUAAACAGAAGUCACUGGAGCCUGGGUUUAAUCUCCUCGCUCGUGUUCACAGGACUGUUGCCAGCUUCAUGAACUUUGCCCCAAGUUCUGUUUGGAGUUUUCACCCACAGUUUGACAAAAAGUGAAAGGGUAAGAUGAUUCAAAGAUACCGUGAUGUGUGAGACACAGCUGAGAGAAGUGAUGGGCCUUCUGUGACAUAUUCUGGGUGGACGCGAGGAAAUUGAAACAUCUAAAAUCAGCAAAAGUUGGUGUGACACAAAGCCCAUGCUCCCAGCAAGACUUCCAGCAGCCACUGCGAGCUCUGGGACGGCGAUGUCUCCGCAGAGCCCUGGGGACUGAUGCUGUCUGCUGCUGCGGGACACAGCUAGAAAGGGAACUGCUGGGAGCCCUUGAUGACAGAUCAUUGAUUUCCUGUUUUUUUCCCCAGCUUAUCUGAACCUCUGGACUUGCUUGUGUGGAGAAGAAGGGGAAAAAAUAGAGUUGGCACUUUCUAUUGUGUUUUCCCAGCUUUUUUUUUUCAACUGACCUGUGACCAAAAAAAAAAAAAUCCAUUUCAGCUUAGAAUAGCAUAAAUGGUAUCAGAGAGUUUACAGACAAAAGGAACUAUCUGUUUUAGGUGCCAUUAUAUUUAAAUGGAUUGUUUUCCCUAAAGGAAUUCAUCCUCCGUGUUUCCUUCAAGCUAUCUCACAGCAGUAAGUGGAGGUGUUUCCUCUGUGUAACACACGGAGCAGAGGAUGCUGAGGCUGUGUUAGCCCUAAGUGCCAUGUAGCUACCCAUCCAUCAGUGUGCCAGGUGCUUUUAGUAGAACACAACUGUACUGUUGGUUUAGGAAAAGGAAAAUAGCAAAUAUUCGGAAGGUGAAAAGAUAAGGCAUUAAAUUGGGAACUGGAAUAGGACACAAAUGCUUACAGAUAUAAAGAGGUACAACAGAGAUUUGUAGAGUGUUGGUGAGGACUUUGGUAUAGGGUCUCUUUUCAGUGUGAAAUGGUGCUGUGGUACCUACUGCUCUAUGUGUCGUACGGCGAUGUGGACUGCCUGGAUGUACCUGCCUUCUUACUGCAGACAUGCAGGACUGUGAAUUGCGCAAUAGAAACUGAGUCCUGUCAACCAGCAGGAUCUUUGAAAAGAAGUGUGUUUCUCCUAUCCAGUUCUAUUUAUAAAGAUACCCGGCAGCUGGUGAAAAAUGAAGCCUGUGUAUCUCACGCUGCCCCAGAAGUUGCGAACAGCAGCUAACUGCAAUCCUGACAGGCCUGGGAGAUGCUGUGAGCCCGGAGCUGCAUCUGUUCGGUUCCACCCUGGGAAAUAGAUGAGUAUGAAGGCAGAGAGUGGGAAACCUCUUCUGGCCCUUUCUUCGCUGCUUGUUCCAAAGAAGUGAUGGAGGAAAACAAAUUCCCUAAAACUUAAGAGGACAAUUUGAAGGUGACGAUGGGAGUCAAAGUCACUUCACACUCUCACUCAACCUGAAGAGCCCAGUUGUCUGAAAAUCGUGAGUCAGAGGCCCAGGGAAGACAGACCACAAAGCUGCCUACCUCUGACACCUAGCCUGAACCAGAUCAUUCAAAGUCCUGUGACAAAGUGCGCCAUUUACGUGACAGCAUAUUAUCUAGGAUGCCACAUCUCCCACAAACCUCAAAAGGCAGGUGUCCGAAAUGUCUCUGUUCUACAUGGGUGCAGAUGAGGCACUUCCUUGCAUGCCCAAAUUGGUUAAAGAAUAUAAAGUCAUACAGGUAAAUCAGCACUGGCAGGUGUGGUCACUUGUUUUGCACCUGCACGUAUUCAAGCAUGCCACAAAAGACUGGACGUGCCUCCCAACAUUGCUGUCAAAGUAAAGGAGUCGAUCUGAGUAACAGCCUGAAGUAAAAUCUUUUACUAAAUUUAACCAUGCACGUUAUUCAGUAUUCUGUCUCCUUUGCCUUUGUACGCAUACAAAGGUAUGACCAAUGUGCCUGGUGACUCAUACCAAAAGACAAGAAUAGCAUCAAUGAAUUACUUGAGUGUUUACGGCAGGACUUGCCAGAAAGGUGCCUCGUUCACAGUUUUAGAUAAGACUCCAGCUGCAGUUUGUCAUACGAAGUCCAAUUGCUCUGAAACCUGAAAAACUGUGACUUUGUUAAGCUUGUCUCAGCUAAAAGUUGCUAUUACCCUAUCUUACAUUAGCUGAACUUCCACAUGGGUCUUAUAUUAUUGCAAGGCUGUCAGAUAUCUCUCUCUGGGAGCAGUAAAUGCCAGUGAACUGUAAAAGUGAACCAUCCAUUUCUAAUGCCAUACUGAAGGAGGGUGAUAACUUGUUGAGCAGAUUAUCAGGAAACUCUUACAUGAUAAAUCUCUUCAGUCAUUCAAAAAUACGGAGAGACUGAAAAAAAGGUCUGGAGAAAACAACUUAUGUAAUGCAGAUCUUCUCAGAACCAUCAGACAUUUCAGCAGGAUUUUUGCUCAAUCCUAGCGUUAUUACCAAAGCGUUGCUACAACUCUCCAGUGAAGACAGUGCACACGGUAUCUAUGAAUAAUGUAAUUGUGAAACAAGGGUACCAGGUCAAAUGUUUUGCUGUUGUUCCUGGUACUGGAACAGUAAGUUUUCUGCAGAGAAUAUUCUAGUCAGAUGCAAAGACACUUUUAUUAAACUUUAAUUUUAAAAAUGUUUUAAAACAAGUUAAGCUUGGUGGUAAUAAUCCUCUAAAAAGAAAAUGGGUUGCAAAUUAUUUCAUCUGUGUGUAUACGACUAUGUACAGAGCUUUAGCUUUAGGUUGUUUCUUAAGGAGGUAGCACCUGGAUCCCUUUUAGAAGGAGAACUAAAACCACAGAUGAAAAAGAACCAUUGAAUUCCUCCAGAAAUCUCCAGGAAAAGAGCAAAAUAUCUAUCUGACAUUUUAGUGGGUUUAAAAUAUACAAUGUGCCCUUCUCUUUUUACUUCCUGUGGGUUAUUAUGAGAAAUAAUUCACUUUGAAUAAACAUUUAUGUGUUAGAAAACUCCGAGAACUGCAAAAAGGCUGCUCUGGGACUCUGUGUUUACAGGCAUCUUCAUUCAAGGAUCUCUAAUGUCUCCAUGCUCCCAUGAUCUGAAUUGCUCUACACUAAUAUCUCUACAGAUAGAAAAAAUUGUUCAGACAUAACUAUACUGGCUUGUCUAUGUCUGCCACGUAUAGCUGAGCUCUUCUUUUUCCUUUACCUUUUCUGGUAAGGGCACUGUGGAGUUGCUGUUCCUCGUGACCAUUGCAUGACUCUUCUGAGGUGGUAGCAAAGCCUACUCAUCUGUGAGUCUGCUGUGGAACUUGUGGUUUCAUAACUUAGCAACUUCAAACAGAAACCGGUAUGAUACUGCUCUUCUACCUCUAGAAAAGUAAAUAUCUACCUCUAGCAAAGUAAAUAUCAAGUGCCUGAAUGUGCUGUGACCGGGUUGACACAAUCGGGUGUUGUGGCAAAAAAUAGCCUCUUUGCAGCCUUUCAUUUCAUUCUUUUAUUUCCCAAUCCCAUCCACUCUUCUAUGCUUGUCCAACAUCUGAUCAGUUCGUUAAAGACAAUAUUUUAGUUCUUGUGGGUGAACAUCUCAGAGAACAUGUUUUUUCAGAGCUGUGCAGAAUAAGGGUAUGGAACAAUAGACUCACCAUUCCUGACCUUCAUACAGUCCUUAGCUACUUCUUGUCUUUCUAAUGUUCCUGUCUGAAUACUGGUUUUUAAAUCACUUUAAUGAAGCUAAAACUCAACUCUCCAUGUAUUUUCCAGUACUUCACCAUUCUUAAAUGCACAAUCUCUUUUUGCUCACUUUAUCUCCUUACUCCUCAGUCACUCCAGGAUUAUUACCAGACUAAUGAAGACCAGAACCCACUGCGGUCGUACCACACUUGCAGCUGUUCAACUACCCCUUGGAGUUCUUAGCAUCUACAUACACCAGGGCAGAUAAAGGAAAAGAAGUGGACAGACGGUGGGAUCUGCAGUGAUGGUAGGAUCAGGUAUAAAUCCAAGUCCCCAACAGAUCCUACUUCUUCCUCUAAAAUCCCUUUCCUUUUCCUUUCGUGCAUCAUGUAUCUGGAAAGGCUUUAUUUAGCUCUGAAGUUUUCAGGUGACGGUAGCUCACUUUGAGUGUCUUUGCAGUAAACUCAUCUCAGUUGAGCAAGUGGGAAGAUCUAGGCUGAGCUGGGAGAAAACCGUCACCAAUGUCUGUGAAUCACAGAAACAUAAUUUGCAUUUCAAGCUGACCUGGUUCAUCUAGCUGUUUCCUAAUGGGAAAUUUAGUGAAAUGAUGCUGUGUUUGCCUACACAGCCCCCCAUAGCAAGGCACUGAUUGCAUUGGGGAUCGGAGUGAGCAGCGUUCAUCAGCAUUUUAAGACACUUGCCAGUUAAAAAAAGAAAAAGAAAAUAAGUUUGGGGGGGUUUUAACUGAAAAAUUGUUCCUCAGAGGAAAAGAAGCAGUGUUGCUGGUCCUCAGAGUACAUUUUGCCAUGAUACUUACUUAUCCUUAUCCUGCCCCUCCAGCAACAGUGAAGCAGCAGGUGCUUUUAGUUAUGUUAAGAAGGAUGGCAUUUGGUGGCCAUAAAGUCAUUAUGUAUGGGAAACAAGACUCGCAUUACCCAAAGACUGUGCUGUCAGGGCAGCAGUUUGAAUGCCAUGCCACUUCCUUAUGGUCAACAGUUGUUUUCAUCUGAGGCUGCAAACCAGUCAUUGAGACUUUGUUGAAUUUACACUAAUUCUUAAUGACCAUCUGUCUGUAUUACAGAACAUUUUGUCAAACAUGGUGUACUUUUAGCAGAGGGGCUGAAGGAAGAACGGGCAGGAAAACUAAACUGCCCUGUCACCUCCUAUAAGCGCUCCCCUCGGCAGACAGAGCUACAAACAGAUGUGUGAGGUUUGCACUGACGAGUGGUCCUAGCCAGGUCUAACAGCAACAGACUUGUGCCUCCAUGGCUGUUAAUGCAACACUCCUCCACUGACUGCAGCCAACCAAUUUCCUUCUUCACGCUACAACCCACCGGGGGUGUGAGACGCUGAAUUUGCACGUCUGAGCCCUGGUGGCAAAGAGACAUGCUAAGCGAUGGCAGAUGCUUGCUCUGAGUGUACACGUGCAGUGCUUACAAAGGCGUACGAGGAGGGGAAAAAAAGAAGAAAUAGCACCGGGUGCAGGGAUACAGCCUGCCCUUACUUUUGGUUUAAAGUUGGGAAAGAUAUAGAACAAGGUAGCUGGAAAACUUCAGGAGGAUGGUGACUGAGUUAUCAGUCAGCACCUAUUUCUGGAUUAGAUGACUUUUAGGGGGACUGUAACUUGUGUUGAAUUAGAUUAUACCUUAUGGCUGAAAAAGCUGA